UGGACGAACGCUGGCGGCGUGCUUAACACAUGCAAGUCGAACGGAAAGGCCCUGCUUUUGUGGGGUGCUCGAGUGGCGAACGGGUGAGUAACACGUGAGUAACCUGCCCUUGACUUUGGGAUAACUUCAGGAAACUGGGGCUAAUACCGGAUAGGAGCUCCUGCUGCAUGGUGGGGGUUGGAAAGUUUCGGCGGUUGGGGAUGGACUCGCGGCUUAUCAGCUUGUUGGUGGGGUAGUGGCUUACCAAGGCUUUGACGGGUAGCCGGCCUGAGAGGGUGACCGGCCACAUUGGGACUGAGAUACGGCCCAGACUCCUACGGGAGGCAGCAGUGGGGAAUAUUGCACAAUGGGCGGAAGCCUGAUGCAGCAACGCCGCGUGCGGGAUGACGGCCUUCGGGUUGUAAACCGCUUUCGCCUGUGACGAAGCGUGAGUGACGGUAAUGGGUAAAGAAGCACCGGCUAACUACGUGCCAGCAGCCGCGGUGAUACGUAGGGUGCGAGCGUUGUCCGGAUUUAUUGGGCGUAAAGGGCUCGUAGGUGGUUGAUCGCGUCGGAAGUGUAAUCUUGGGGCUUAACCCUGAGCGUGCUUUCGAUACGGGUUGACUUGAGGAAGGUAGGGGAGAAUGGAAUUCCUGGUGGAGCGGUGGAAUGCGCAGAUAUCAGGAGGAACACCAGUGGCGAAGGCGGUUCUCUGGGCCUUUCCUGACGCUGAGGAGCGAAAGCGUGGGGAGCGAACAGGCUUAGAUACCCUGGUAGUCCACGCUGUAAACGGUGGGUACUAGGUGUGGGGUCCAUUCCACGGGUUCCGUGCCGUAGCUAACGCUUUAAGUACCCCGCCUGGGGAGUACGGCCGCAAGGCUAAAACUCAAAGGAAUUGACGGGGCCCCGCACAAGCGGCGGAGCAUGCGGAUUAAUUCGAUGCAACGCGUAGAACCUUACCUGGGUUUGACAUGGAUCGGGAGUGCUCAGAGAUGGGUGUGCCUCUUUUGGGGUCGGUUCACAGGUGGUGCAUGGCUGUCGUCAGCUCGUGUCGUGAGAUGUUGGGUUAAGUCCCGCAACGAGCGCAACCCUUGUUCACUGUUGCCAGCACGUUAUGGUGGGGACUCAGUGGAGACCGCCGGGGUCAACUCGGAGGAAGGUGGGGAUGACGUCAAGUCAUCAUGCCCCUUAUGUCCAGGGCUUCACGCAUGCUACAAUGGCUGGUACAGAGAGUGGCGAGCCUGUGAGGGUGAGCGAAUCUCGGAAAGCCGGUCUCAGUUCGGAUUGGGGUCUGCAACUCGACCUCAUGAAGUCGGAGUCGCUAGUAAUCGCAGAUCAGCAACGCUGCGGUGAAUACGUUCCCGGGGCUUGUACACACCGCCCGUCAAGUCAUGAAAGUUGGUAACACCCGAAGCCGGUGGCCUAACCGUUGUGGGGGAGCCGUCGAAGGUGGGAC
rnacentral:rRNA from 1 species